AAAAGUUUUAGACACGUAUUAUAGAACUAAUAAAACUUAUAAAAUUAAAAAAUGUUUUCUAGUACUUGUUAAGCCUUUGCACUUUUUGUUUAAUCUCUUCUUAAUCAACCAGUGUUUUUACUAGUUUCUGAAAAAAAUAAUUUAUUAUUCCUAUACACAAGUCUGGAAGUAAGAAUGAUGUAAGUAACUAAGUACCGGCCAAUUUCUAAAAUCUCUAUUAUACCUAAAUUAUUUAAAGCUAUUAUAUCAAAACAUUAUCUAGUUUAUUAUUGAAUUGCAUUAGCCCCCUUCAAUAUGGGUUUUUUAGCAAAACACUCAAAUUUUUAUCAAUUUAUUUUUAUUUUUGCUAAUGCUUUAGAUCACGGUUUUUAAGUCGACACAAUUAUACAGACUUUCGAUAAAGUUGACCAUAUUUACUAUAUUAUAAAUUAAAAACAUUUGGUAUAGAUUAUUAUUUUCUUGAAUAACUAUAGUGGUACCUCACUAAUAGAAAUAAUAAAACUCAAACCGUUAAAAUCAUCUCAAUAUUUUAUAGUAUUUACUGGCGUUCCCCAAUGUUUCCAUUUAAGUCCUUUACUGUUUCUGAUUUCUAAUAAUGAUCUACCACGUUUUGUUUUAGAGAGUUCUAGCAUUGCACUUAUUUUAUUAUUUGCUGAUGAUGCUGAAAUUGUUUGCAAGAUCAAACUAAUUUACCAUUGAGGUUAAAUAAAUUUGUUUUAUGGAGUGAAAAAAAUUAUUUACCACUAUAGUGGCAAAAUAUUUAUAUAAUAUAAAUAUUAUAUUUAAAUAUUUAAAUUUAAUAAUAUAAAUAUUUAUAAAUAUCAAUAAAUGUAAUCUCUUUUAUCCGUAAAACUGAUCCUAUUUUAAAACAAUAUGUAAUAAAUGAUUUUUUUUUCUUAUCGCAAGAGUUAAUUCAAUUAAAAGUUUAGUAAUUUAAUUUCUAAGAGAUCAUGACUUAAAAAUUAAUCAUAAAAUAAUCCUCGAAAAAUCAUAUACCAAAGAUGUUAGAUUUCAUAAUUAGAAAUAAGUACAAAAGAAUUUAGAAAUCCUGUAUGCAUAAAAAAACUUUAUUAUACCUUGCUAUAAGACCAAACCUUGAAUUUGGUUAAAUUGUUUGGUGUCAAAAUCUGUCUACUUAUUAUUCAGAACUUGAUAAUAUGUUCAAAAUAAGUUAUUAAUAGUUUAUCUACUAGGUAAAUACAUGUCAUUUUUUCUUGAUUUCGUAAUUUUAAAUAAGUACCUACUACGUUUUCUAGUACAAAUAUGGUGCCAAUUGAAAACCGACAAGACUUUUUUUUAAAUUUAUUAAUCUGGUUUUUUUAAUGAUGGAAGUCGUUUUUUUUUUUGAAUAAGUUUUUAAGUCAAAUUUAAAUGAAAAUAGCAAAACAAAUUACGGCAUUUCAAAUUAUGUAUUACCGAACUGCGCUCGAAAUCGUCUUUCGUCAAAUAAUGGUUUAUUGUUGUUAUAGAUAUAAAUAAAUGAAAUAACCUUAUGUAUCAUACCUUUCCAAUUUCUCACCUACAACAGUGGCCGCUCCCAUCCCCACUAUUAAUUUUUUUAUAUUGUGUGUUUUUUUCUCAACUACAUUUAUUUUGUUUUCCUGUCUGUAAACCACUUUUCUGUCAGAAAUUAUAUUCAAAUCAUCAACUUGAGGGAUAAAUAGACAAUUUUGUUUAGUUAGGGUAUCGAGGAAGUCAUUAAAGUAUUUUAUUUGUUAACAAUUUCUAACACAUUUAUUUUUAAUUUUGUUUAAAAUUUUUUAAUACAGGUUAAACAGUGAAAAAUAGUUAUACCAUUAGCAGAGGCGUACUCAAGGAGGAGGCGGAGUGAGUUAAUGAUGCUUUGCCCUUCUCCUUAUUAACCUUGUUUAAUAUUAACAAAAUAGUAAUAAUAUAAACUAUUCAGUAUUGAAAAAUUAAGUUUGAUUGUUGGCUUUUUAUACAAAUUUACAAUUUUAUUCCAAUUUGGAUGACUUUCCAUACUUUACAUUCAAAAGAAGAUAAGUCACCGUCUACUUUUCAUCUUGAAAUUCAACCCCUAAAGCGUGACUGACACUAAGUUAUGGGUAUUUUUGGAACGAAAAUUUAAUUUUUUUUCGUUGAUUUAUGGAUUACUUUGGCGACACAAAUGGAAGAAAAACAAGUUACAUCAAUUUAUUUAGUUUUCAUGGUCAAGCAAGUAACCUUUUUAAAAGAUAUAAAUUACUGAGCAACUAAUAUUUAUUAUGAUAGGGAUAAAGGUGAGUCCAGAAAAUACUGGGUAAUUUAGCUGUGUUAAAUUAAAUUGAGCUGGGUAUAAUACAUAUUUUAUUCUACUCUUGGACUUCCAUGAAUGGUACUAAAUUAUCAAAGUCCCUCUUCAUCAGCAGAUACCCCACAAUAUUCUAUAAUCCAACCCACAGUAGAAUUUACCAAAAACUCACCCCUCUCAAGAGCAAUAUCCCUAUGUAAUAGAUAAUAAUUAAUAACCAAUCCAGUAUCAAUUUUUUCACACUGUAAUUUGCAUUAAUACCCAGGAACUAAGUUUUUUUUUUUAACUCUAUGACUUUUAACCUAAUUUAAUUAUUAAUAGUGAAUAUGAAUC